CCUCAUGUGGAAUACUUUAUAAGAAUAAACAGGUGUACUGUGAGGACAAUAGUCAAUGUGUAUAUGAAUAUCACUUGUGCAAUGGGUCAAGUCAGUGUCGAGACGGAUCAGAUGAAAGCAGGGAUUUCUGCACAGAUUAUCAGUGUCGUGAAGGAUAUGUUAAAUGUGCUGAUGGUCGCCAAUGCAUAUGGAAGCCUGCAUUAUGUAAUGAGUACAUUGCAUGUAACGACGGGUCAGAUGAAAGCGAGGCUACAUGUAAAGGGCGACCCUGUAGAGGCACAAAGGUGCACUGUGCAGAUCAGAUUCAAUGUAUAGAUAUUUGGGAACAAUGUGAUGGAAAAAAAGUUCAUUGUCGUGAUGGAUCUGAUGACCAAGAAAAUAUUU